AGAGUUUGAUCAUGGCUCAGAUUGAACGCUGGCGGCAGGCCUAACACAUGCAAGUCGAGCGGUAGAGAGAAGCUUGCUUCUCUUGAGAGCGGCGGACGGGUGAGUAAUGCCUAGGAAUCUGCCUGGUAGUGGGGGAUAACGUUCGGAAACGGACGCUAAUACCGCAUACGUCCUACGGGAGAAAGCAGGGGACCUUCGGGCCUUGCGCUAUCAGGUGAGCCUAGGUCGGAUUAGCUAGUUGGUGGGGUAAUGGCUCACCAAGGCGACGAUCCGUAACUGGUCUGAGAGGAUGAUCAGUCACACUGGAACUGAGACACGGUCCAGACUCCUACGGGAGGCAGCAGUGGGGAAUAUUGGACAAUGGGCGAAAGCCUGAUCCAGCCAUGCCGCGUGUGUGAAGAAGGUCUUCGGAUUGUAAAGCACUUUAAGUUGGGAGGAAGGGCAGUAAAUUAAUACUUUGCUGUUUUGACGUUACCGACAGAAUAAGCACCGGCUAACUCUGUGCCAGCAGCCGCGGUAAU
rnacentral:rRNA from 1 species